GAUGAACGCUGGCGGCGUGCUUAACACAUGCAAGUCGAACGAAGCAUUUGCGACAGAUUUUUUCGGAAUGAAGUUGCUUAUGACUGAGUGGCGGACGGGUGAGUAACGCGUGGGUAACCUGCCUUGUACUGGGGGAUAGCAGCUGGAAACGGCUGGUAAUACCGCAUAAGCGCACAAUGUUGCAUGACAUGGUGUGAAAAACUCCGGUGGUAUAAGAUGGACCCGCGUCUGAUUAGCUAGUUGGUGAGAUAACAGCCCACCAAGGCGACGAUCAGUAGCCGACCUGAGAGGGUGACCGGCCACAUUGGGACUGAGACACGGCCCAGACUCCUACGGGAGGCAGCAGUGGGGAAUAUUGAACAAUGGAGGAAACUCUGAUGCAGCGACGCCGCGUGAGUGAAGAAGUAAUUCGUUAUGUAAAGCUCUAUCAGCAGGGAAGAUAGUGACGGUACCUGACUAAGAAGCUCCGGCUAAAUACGUG
rnacentral:rRNA from 1 species